CAAAUCUAGAUACAAAAAGAAAAAGAAAAACGUUCUGGAAUUCAAGGAAAAACAGUAGAGGUUUAGAGUGAUUUUGUAGUCAAACAGUUUGAAAAAAGGGAGAAAAAGUUGUGGUUUUUUCCUGUUGAUUCAAGGAAGCUUUGUUUGACAUUUCAGUGAAUUUCGAGUUCGGUUUCGAUCCGAAAUCGAAGUCGAGUAUGCUGUUCCUGAGCUGCUGAAUUCCGUGCUCAAUUCCAACCUUAUCUGGGUUGCUUUUUGCCGCAAUUUCCCUGCUAUUAGGUAUGUAUUCCUUUAAGCUAUGUUCAGACUUCAAAUUUACUAUGAGAUGGAAUUGCUUUAUUGUUUAUUUUUUACAAUGAUUUGGUAAUCAAAUGGUAUGCUUGAUUGUUUAUUGGUUACGCUUAUUAUAUGUGCAAUUCAUAUGAUGUAAAUAGAAGUGUAUUCAUAAGAUUCGGUUUUCUACAAACAUGUGCAAUUUAUAUGAUGUAAAUAGAAGUAUAUUCAAAAGAUUCAGUUUUCUACAAAUGGAAAAGAAAAAGAAUUUUUGUUUUCCACUUACUACUGUAUCUUAUAUUCGGUGGACUCACUGCUAAAAGGUAAAAAUUUGUCCCAUUUGAUAUCUUUGCCGUUUGUUCUUACAUAUAAUGAAAGCACAAAGUCUUAAAAAAAUUUAAAUGCUCGAGGUAUGAGCAAGAAGUCGAGGUUGUUUGUUUCUAACUAUGGGAUGACUUUUAACAUUACCUUUUUUUUUUUUUGAAAAAAGCCAACGGGGGGUUUGGUGGGAGAAGAUGUGAUCUGUUUGGUUAAUUGAUACUGGUAAGUGAUAGAAUCUGCUUAGUGAGCUUGGAGAUGGUCAAAUGCUAAAUUCUUAAAAAAUCUCUUUGAUAAACAGAGUAAAAAAGCCAACGGGAGGUUUGGUGGGAGAAGAUGUGAUCUGUUUGGUUAAUUGAUGCUGGUAAGUGACAGAAUAUGCUUAGUGAGCUUGGAGAUGGUCAAAUGCUAAAUUCUUAAUAAAUCUCUUUGCUAAACAGAGUAUAAAAUAUUUACAUGCUCUCUCACUAAGAAUUUUUAUUAUAUUUUAACAAACUAUUCGGUCUCUAUAGAAUCAUGGAACAGGAAUGCAGAACUGUUUGGGUAUAUAUUUAGGCAAAUUUAUACUUGGGAGCAGUAGUAAAAAAUGGAAUGUUGUUAGUAUCCAAUUUACUCCUACUUAAUGUUGAAAUGAGUGACUAUGUUACAUUUGUACACACAGUCCUUCCUUGUAUAUUCACCGUGUCGAACAAUUAAGUGUCCUCGAGUUUCCUUGAAAUUGAAUUGAUACAGAUUAAUAUAGAAAACAUGGAUAAAUGGAUAAUGUAAUCUUUUGAGUAUCAGCAUACAUGCACCUUGGUAAUUGAUAUUGGGAUGAUAAUUCUGAUGCUAUUUUGGAGGAGAUAUUGCCCUAAGAUAUUACCGAAUCACAUGGACUAUAAAAUUGUCUCUUUAUACAUAAUCUUGGCAAAAAUCAUCUCGUGUGAGGUUUUCUGCAUGUUAAAUACUGUUAUGGAGCCAAAACAUUCAUAUCAUUAAAGUGGCUUUCAUGUUAGUUCCAGAUUAAUACCAUGUAGCUAAUAUGCUUAUUAUUGAGUUCAUGUCACUUAUUUGUUCGAAUAAUCGGUAGCAAUACCUUAGGCAUGUUAUUAAUUCAAUCAAUUAUCUUGAUUGUAUAGACGUUUGCGUGACACGAUUACUAUUUAAAAAAUGAAUAUUUGUAUUUUGCUUUAGGCUUGAUUUAGACUAAUAUUGUGAUUAUGUAUACGUUUCCGUAACAUACUUGCAAAUUUAAUUCUAAAGUGACUAGAGGGAUGGUUCGCGCAACAUCAGCCAAACUUUUCUUAAUAAAUCAGCAAAAGCGUUAUUAAUUGUGGACAUGUAUGCGUGACAUGAUUUUUGACGCGCCAUAGGAAAAAGUAUACGUACGCGCAACUCAAUCAUUUAAUUAUGAAUAAUCAAGUGAUUUAAAAGAGGUAAAACGAUGAAUGCACAUAGGUCGUAAAUGAGUAGCUAAACAAUUUAAGCCAAGUAACAAUCACUAAGCGACCGUGCUAGAACCACGGAAGCCAGGAAUGCCUAACACAACACCUCCUAGAUAAACAGAAUUCCUUAUCUUGAAUUUCUGGUUCGCAGACUGUGAGUAGAGUCAACCUUUCUCGAUUUGGAAUUUAAAAUAAAUCAGUGACUUGGGACACCAAUUAAAAUAUUUCAAGUGGCGACUCUGAUAAAAAAAUGAAUGAAUAAUCCCAUUUCGAAUAAUGUCACUUAAUUGAAAAGAACUCCCUCUACACCCUUCCGGGGGUGUAGUGAAAAAGGAGUUGAGACAGCUACCGGCAUCGAAUUUGUUUUUGGGUAGUAAUGGCAGUCAACAGUUCCUACUGUGAGCGUCGAAGUGGUAGGGUAUAUCAUAUGUUUACAUCUUGGGUUAUGGGUAUGGCUUGAUACAGCUUGCUCAGAUUUAUACAGUGGCUAGAUGUUGGAUUCGAGACUUCUGAUGAAUUCUGGAUGAUAGAGAUUGGGUUCUAAGGUUUAAGGACCGAACUCGAAAUAAGGACCUCCAGUUAUGUUAUGUUGGAGGGCUAUGUGGAUCAGGAUGACGUGGGAUCACCCCCGGGUUGAUGCUUGGCAAGGUUGCAUCGGGAUUUGAUAGCUUUGGAAGGACUCCUAGAACGUUCGAUGAUGAACCUGUGUUUAAGUGGUGGAGGAUGUAACGACCUGAUUGGUUAUUUUGAGUAUCUGCACUUUGCUCGGUGAUGCGAGGGCUCGAUUAUCUCCGCAUGAUGUAUUAUGACUUGCGUAAAUCAUUGGUGUUGGUUUUCAAGUUAUCUGGAAUCGGUUUGGAAGAAAGAACUUCAAGAUUUAAGUUCUAAAUUGGAAGAAUUUACUAAGUUUGACUUUUUAGCAUUUGACCUCAGAAUGAAGUUUCUCAAUUCUGUUAGCUCUGUUGGGUGAUUUUGAACUUAGCAGCACGUCCGGAUUGUAAUUUGGAGGUUUGUAGUCGAAUUAGUCUAGAAUUGGCGAAAGUUGGAUUUUUAUGAAGUUUGACUGGGAGUGGACUUUUUGAUAUCGAGGUCGGAUUCCGAUUCUAGAAGUUGGAAUAGGUCUAUAAUGAAAAAUGUGACUUGUGUGCAAAAUGUGAGGUCAAUCAGAGGUGAUUUGAUAUGUUUCGGUAUCAAUUGUAGAAGUUGAAGUUUCAAAGUUCAUUAAUUUUGACUUGAGGUGUGAUUCGUCGUUUCAUAGUUGUUAUUUGUGAUUUGAAGCUUUGAGUUGGUUCAUUUUGUCAUAAAGAACUUGUCUGCAUAAUUUGGCACCAUUUGGAAUUGAUUUGAUAUAAUUCGGACGAUAGGUUGUAAUUCUAGAAGUUCUUGAAGUAUAAGUAAGCAAAUGGUUGUAUGUUUCUGCAUUAUUUUUUAUUUUGAGGUCAUGCAACUCAUGGACACUACAAGUUUUACUUUUGUAUAGACGAAGGUUUUAGAUAGUGCUUCAUUUAAUUGCUGAUGAUUGGUGUAACGAUUUACAAAUAUGUAAAUAAAAACAUUUAGUAUCAAAGUAGCAAAUGGAACAUUCUGUGUAAAAAAUAUAUGGAAUCAACUAUUGAUAGUUGUAUUAGGAUAAGUUGCUUGCACCACGCGCUAUUUGAAUUUUUUUUUACUUUUUUCCGAAAUUUUACAAUUCUUAUGUCCAAACACUCACUAAAUGUGUAAAACUCAUAUAGAGUUCAAGGCAAUAGUCAAAACAAAAAAUAAGCUUACUCCUUGAAAUUUUAUUCUUGAAUUUAUGUUACAUACAUGCGGAGUAUCCCAUGGAGACAUUAUUCUGACAUGUGUAGCAAAGCUUAAUUAGUUGCCACAACUCAAAACUCAACUAGCUUUUUUCACAGAAGUGAGUGAACCAGAAGAGAAACUCACUGAAUCAUACCUUUGAAAAAUAUAAGCCACAAUCAAAGAAGCAGUAAGAGUAACAACAUCCUUAGCCGCACAUUGUUUGUUUGAUUCAGUUGGUCUCCCACUCUGUGGUCCAUUUGACCAAAACAAAAAAUUCAGCAAUUCUUUUCCUUUUUCCUUUGUAAACCUUUCCAACACAAAUUUUCCAGGAUCAUCAAACACCUUUGGAUCUCUCAUUACCAAUGGCUGAUACCCACAAAGAAGUUCACCUUUCUUGAUUUCAUAUACUGAAUCGUGUGAACUUAGCUUAAAAUCUUUUCUUGCUCUUGCAUAUUGAGUUGGCACUGGUGGACUAAGUCUAAGUGUUUCAUAUACAAAAGAUUGAACAAGUUCCAUUUCUUUAACACUCUCAAAACUCAAAUUUUCUGGCUUUAAUCCAACUUUCUCUCUCACUUCAUUUCUUAACUUCUCUUGUAAUUCUGCAUUUUUUUCAUCUCCAAGAUUUCCCAGAAGGGUUGGCAAGAAAAUAGAGAAACCACCAAAAGCAUUGAACCCAAGAAUGAACAAAAGGUUAUGUAUAACUUCUUGUUCAGUAAGUCCAAACUCUGACUUCCCUCUGUUUAAAACUUCCUUGGCUUCAUCUUUCACAAAUUGAAUCAGUUUUUCAUAACUACCUUUGACAAGGAAAAAAGGGUAAGUAAAAGAGUGGACAAAUAUUUCUUCAAGGGGUUGAAGUAUACCAAUACUAACAGUGGGUGCAAGUUGAAUAGCUAGCCACGUGUCAAGCAUGACAUAGCCGGAAUUGGCUAUUUCUGGUGAAGCUGAUGGAUUGGCUCCUAAGAGAGUGAGAGAGAAAAGGUUGAAGAGGAAUUUUUGCAUAGCAGGGAGGAGAGAAGCUGAGUUUGAUCUUGAGAUAUCUGAUUCAAAAGUUUCAAACAUGGAGUUGAGCUCAUUGACAAGUGUAGGCACCCAUGUUUUUGAGCUUCUUUUUAGAAUGUCCAAUGAAAAGUUCUUUAUCUGCAAUUUAACAGUACAUGAUGAUAAAUGUACUCUACAAUUUUAUUCCAAAUCACCAAAAAUUUUGUUAUAGAAAAUAUACUCUUUCUUAUAAGGGUCCGGGCAAGGGCUGCCUGUACGACCCCAAAACAUCUCCAUAUGUAAUUUAGGAUUUCGUGGUGCUAGGCAGGUUAAUUAUAACAUUUUAAGUGUUAUUAGCAUGAUGGACAUUAAUUAAAUUUGGUAAAUAAGUAUAUAAGUCAUAUAUUAAGUAAUGUGGGGUUUAAGGAGAGACCUAAGUCUAAUUCAAGUUGAAAAUAAUUUUCAUGAUAGGCCAUAAUUUCAAAUGAGUAUGCACAAAUAUCAUUGGAAUAGUUUCGAAAAAUCUAAUAUAUAAAUUAUACAUAAUAAAAUAAUCAAAAAAUUAAUAUAAUAUAAAUUUUAUAAAAUAACUCAUCGAACCGAACCAUUAACACCCUAAUGAUUGCUACGACUAUUUUAGAAGUAAACCACUGAAGACGAAUCAUGAAUAAUUAGUAAUUUUGUCAUUUUAAAACAUUAGUCAUAAUUCUAGAAAAACAGGAAAAAAAGAUCUAUUAGGGAUUUGAGGAGAUAUUUUGAAACUAAUAUGUGUCAUGUGUAAAAUGUGGAUGCCUAGACUAUUUGUUUCACUGAAAUGCCAACUCUAUUAUAUUCUCAUCUAUUCCCAUUUAUGACUGGACUUAUUAACAUAUAUAUAGAUAUACUAGUACACAAGACAAAUUAGUGUCAAAAUUUCAACUUGUACAGCACAUGCCCCUGUGGUCCUUGAUUAUAUAAUUUCUCAUCAGAGGUAGUACUAAUCAAUUAUCAACGAAAGUUAUUACUACUAAAAGUUAAAAGAAGUGAUGAGAAAAACUGAUAUUUUUGCUUCUCGGUGGGAUUUAAACCUGAACCCUCGAGUUGUCAACUUGCUUUUUUGACCACUAGGUUAAUGAUGUUGGGUGCCGACGACCUUAAUGUUAUAUUGCAAAAGUUCAGCAACGUCGAACAUCCUCGUUCAUAUCUCAGUUUGGAAACGUGGGAAAAGAGAUACUCCCUCUAUCCCAUUUCAUGUGAAUGGAUUCAGGUCAAAACACAUACACACACAAAUUCUUUAAUAUAUUUAAAAUCUAUGGAACAAGAAAAUGUUUAAAAUGAAUUAUCUCGGAGAGGAGAAGUAAAUGGAAAAUUAAAGGUACGUACCUGAGUAUGUUUAGGUUCAGAAGUAUCAAGAUAAGCACAAACACGCAUAUCUCCAGUAUACUUAACACUAGGCAUGAAAUCCCCAACAAGAACAUUAGCUUUCUCUACAUUCUCCAUAUCAAACAGAUGUGAAAACGACUUGACGUCAAGAACCGCCACCACAUUUGGAUUAACACCCAGAAAAAAGGGAAAACAAGGAGGCACAUUUGUUCUAAAAACGGUGCUCUUGUGCUUUUCAAUUCUCUUGGUAAAAAAAGUGUUAGGUCCCUGAAACCAGUUAUAGUCCAAUCUAUCUGAUAUCGGUCCUAACAACGGCCAACCGUAGCCGCCGGGGAUUGUACGGACGGGAAGAGAAGCCGGCGGCGUAGUUAACGGCAGUGAGGAUGUACCAGUGCUACCAGGAUUAAUAGGAGUAGAUCCGCUCAUCAUUUUCGCCAUGAGUGUGGACAUACCUUUUUUUUUUUUUAAUGUACAGAAAUUCAAUGCAGAAUGCUGGGUUUUUCUAAACUCUUGUAUAAAAAUAUUUAUAAGUGAUUGAGAAAUGGAAAAUGUAACAAGUGAAUAAUAUGGGAUAAAUAAGGAUUGGAAAAUGGAAAAGAUUGUGAAGCCAACGGUUGUUUAAAACCUGGAAGGAUUGGUGGAAGAAGUACAACUACAUAACUGUUUAAAAAUGGAAAUUCAGAAUUAUGUACGUUCACUUUAUUGAACUGCUGGUCCUUCCAUAGUUUAGGACUAGAUAUUUUAUGUACAAGAAGAUAUUGAUGACUAAUAAAUGUGGACAAUUGGGCUCAUGGAAAUCUAAAUCAAUUGUCAUAUCGUUCCUUACAUGUCUGAUCUUUUCUAUAUAGACAAUAUAUACGUUUUGUAUAUAUGUACUAGGGGUGUACAAAGAAAACCGACAAAUCGCACCAACCCGAUAAUCCGAGUCAAGUCGAGAAAAAAAAUCCGACUAUGGUUUGGUUUGACUUGGUUUGGUGUUGGAAAAAAAAACCCGNNNNNNNNNNNNNNNNNNNNNNNNNNNNNNNNNNNNNNNNNNNNNNNNNNNNNNNNNNNNNNNNNNNNNNNNNNNNNNNNNNNNNNNNNNNNNNNNNNNNNNNNNNNNNNNNNNNNNNNNNNNNNNNNNNNNNNNNNNNNNNNNNNNNNNNNNNNNNNNNNNNNNNNNNNNNNNNNNNNNNNNNNNNNNNNNNNNNNNNNNNNNNNNNNNNNNNNNNNNNNNNNNNNNNNNNNNNNNNNNNNNNNNNNNNNNNNNNNNNNNNNNNNNNNNNNNNNNNNNNNNNNNNNNNNNNNNNNNNNNNNNNNNNNNNNNNNNNNNNNNNNNNNNNNNNNNNNNNNNGUCUAAUUUUUGUUUUGCAAUAAUUUAGAUAAAAAUACAUAACAUAUUUUUAUUUUGCUUUAGCUUUUAGGCAUAUAAUUAAUACUCCCCUAUUAAUCUAUCUAGUUUAGCUUGAAUUAGUGCUUUUAGAUUAUGUUUAUUUUUUUUAUGGCUUUUUAAUUAGCAAUAAUUAUAUUACAUAAUUUUAUUGUCUUUAUUGUUGAAUAUUUUAGGAUAAUGCCAUGACACAUCUUAUAGUUUGUAUUAUUUUCUUGAAAAAUAUUUUAUAUAGUUGUAUCUUACUAGUAUUAAAGAAAUAUUUUGAGCAUACGUUAUAUGUUUUGUUCUACGAAUAUUUCACCGAAAAAAAAAUAAAAAAACCCGAAUAACACUAGAAAAACCGAGAUUGAAAACCCCGAAUUUUAUUUUGAUUUGUUCUUUAGAUUUAAUAACACGACACAAUAGAUUUGGUUUGGUAAUUGUAAAAUUCGAACCAACCCGACUUAUGUACACCCUUAUAUAAACUAGAUAGAUCAGGGGAGGAUGCAACCUUUUAGUAUUGGGCUCAUCCGUAAUUGAUAUUUUCGGUGAAAAGUAUAUAUAUAUAUAUAUAUAUAUAUAUAUAUAUAUAUAUAUACACACGACAAUUUUCAAAAUAUAAUAAAUUUAGUGCUAAAAUUUUUAUAAAUAAAUUGCAUCAAGUUUAAAUUUUGAACCUGAACUCACAUAAAUAUUACCAUUAUAUUUUUUUUGAAAUAAAGUAUGAAAAACGUUUGUACCAAGAGACCAUCAAAUGUUGUACAUUCACUUUAUUGAACUGCUGGUCCUUUCAUAGUUGAGGACAAAAUGCACGUGUUCCAGUGAAAAGAGAGUAGGUGCAACAAGUAUUUCGUACUUAUAUAGAGUUUGAAGAAGGGUUGGAUUUUAAGAAAAUGUGAUGUAUACAAUAUACCUUAAUACAAAAAUUAACGACUAAUUUAACAAUUCGAAUCCUCACACAAAUAGUCUACUGCAAAAAUUAAUUGACCAUGUGUGCGGUUGAUUCUACUAAAAGCUUUAAAUCUUUGGUUUGUUAUAAGAACUUUGCAAGGGCAAGAUAUAGAGCUGGUUUGGAUUGAUUUUAAAAAGUAAUUUUUCAGGAGAAAUAAAUUUUUAAGACAAAAAUUACUAAGUUUGGGUUACCCAAUUUAUUCUUUUUAGUUUGUGAUAAGCAAUUUUUAAUGUAUUUUCAAUAUGUUUUUGACUUAGUCAAACACGAAAGAAAGUUGAAAAGCUUAUUUGACUAAGUAAGCUUAUUGAAAAAGCCUAAAAGCCCCACUCUCAUUAGGGGUAUACAAAGAAAACGAACAAAUAAUAAUUCGCGUCAAACUGAGAAAAAAAAUCUGACUAUAGUUUGGUUUGAUUUGGUUUAAUGUUAGAAAAAAAAAUCCGACAUUACUUUGGUUUGAUUUUAACUAAAAUAGUCAAAUCAAAACCAAACUAAGCCUUGAAAUCCAACAAGAAAUCCUACAAGAUCUUCAUCUAAGAGAUAAGGUUCUAUACACUAGACUUUAAUUUCGAGUUUGGGAUAUAAGAUGAGUCAUUGAAGUAUAAUUCUUGGGUGUAAUAGUAUUAUGUAUAUAUGCAUGUAAAAAAUUAGGUUUGAAAAAAGAUUGUUGAACACAAAUAAGUAAAGAUUAAGUUAGGAAAUUAAGAAAAUCUUGUAGAAGAGCUUUGAAAUCAAGAUGCACAAUUAGUAUUUGAUAAAAUGCUCAAAUGAGAUAAAACCAUGAAUACCUUCCUAAUUUGUGUUCGAUUUUGUUACGUCUCAAAGUAGAUUUGGAUUGCUAGAAUUUCCAGAAUGUUGUAGUGACUUAGGGAAAAGUUCUUUGAGGUAUGCUGGCUAAACUUUUUCUUAGAAUCGAAUUCCAUAAAUAUUUUCGUAAGUUCGAGUAUGGUUGGCUCAAAAUUCCUAAUUUCUAUAUUCCAAGUCAUUACCUAUAAACCUGACUAUUCAAAAAUGAGCCUUGUGAAUGAUGAUAUAUGGUCGAAGUAUGGAUUGCGUAUUAAAAUGUUACGACUUUGUGUCGUGUUUCAAAUGAAGGCUAGUAUGUCAAAUUGUGCAAGAAAGUUCGACAUGCGUAAGGCUCAUAAUUGCUCAUAUGUAUACCUAAAGUCUUGAUUGGAAAUAUAUUGUUGGUAAAAUAUAAAGAUAUUUGGAAGUGAAAUAAGUGCAUUGUGGAAUAUGAAAUACGACCAUUGUGCUAUGAAAGAAGAAUCGUAUGUAUGACCAAAAGGAGCAAAUAAAUUAAUGAUGUUGUGAGUAGCUAAAGGUACCAAUGAAACUAAGUACGAUAUAAAAGGCUUAUUGUGUAUAAUAUGUGAAUCCUAUGGAUGGGCUAUGAUACACAUAGGUGUAUAAUAUAAUAUGUGGAGCCUAUGGACGGGCUAUGAAACGCAUAAGUGUAUAAUAUAAUAUGUGGACCCUAUGAACGGGCUAUGAAAUGCAUAGAUGUAUAAUAUAAUAUGUGAACCCUAUGGACGGGCUAUGAAAUGCAUAGGUGUCUAAUAUAAUACGUGAACUCUAUGGAUGGGCUAUGAAACGCAUAUGUGUAUAAUAUAAUAUGUGGACCCUAUGGACGGGCUAUGAAACGUAUAGGUGUAUAAUAUAAUAUGUGAACCCUAUAAACUGGUUAUGAAACGCAUAAGUGUAUAAUAUAAUAUGUGGACCCUAUGGACGGGCUAUGAAACACAUAGGUGUAUAAUAUAAUAUGUGGAUCCUAUGAACGGGCUAUAAAACGCAUAUGUGUAUAAUAUAAUAUGUGAACCUUACUAACGGUCUCAUAUGUGCAUAACAAGAAAGGACCGAAUGGUCUGGUGAGAUGCCUAUUUAACACAAGCGUCAUGUGGUUUUUAUUUCGUUGCACCUUGCUUAUAUAUGUUGUUGUGAUUACGCUAUAUUUUGUAUCCCACAUAUAGUUCAUAUGGUUGAAUUGACCCCAAGGAAGUUCAGAGUGAGGUAAGUAUAAUAAAAACCUGAAAUGUAAAUACAUGGGACAUUUUAUAGUUGCUUUACAUACUACGAUUUCCUUUCUCAUAUUGUUAUUCUAUUUUCAAAGAGGACAUCUAGCUAUACAUACUAGUGCUAUUCGAAGGCAUUAACGUCCUUUUUGCCAGGGACGCUGUAUCAAAUACAGGUGGUCCAGCAGCAGGCGGCUUCGAUCAGUGAUAG
rnacentral:lncRNA from 1 species